rnacentral:lncRNA from 1 species
AAGUAUACAAAACAACCUACACAUGAAAUUCUACCAAGUAUGUCUACACACACACAAGUGCACCAACCUGGAUUCACCAAGCUAGCAAACUACACCACACUACACCACACUCAUGUUGGUUUGAGAGGAGGUAAAUAUAAACCCUCAUGUGCAAAAUCACUACAAAGCUACAAUAAUCAUGGGCUGCUGGAAAUCAAUUCAGCAAAGGAAAAAAAUAAAAGAAAAC